ensembl:lncRNA
CUUUCGACAUGGGGCCAUGCAUUACCAUGCUGAAACAUGAGGUGAUGGCGGCGGAUGAAUGGCACGACAAUGGGCCUAAGGAUCUCGUGACGGUAUCUCUGUGCAUUCAAAUUGCCAUUGAUAAAAUGCAAUUGUGUUCGUUGUCCGUAGAUUAUGCCUGCCCACACCAUAACCCUACAGCCAACACGAUGCCAUAUACUUGGUCUGUGGUUGUGAGGCCGGUUGGACAUACUGCCAAAUUCUCUAAAACGACAUUGAAGGCGGCUUAUGCAAUUGUCAAUGAUCAAGAAUCCUGCCGAACAGAGAGUGUAUGCUCCACCAAGAAGAAACCAAGGAAGCGUUCGCUCAUUUCCAGGAUGUUUUCAGCUAUAGGCAAAACCUUGUCCAGUCCCUUUACUUCCUG